rnacentral:rRNA from 1 species
UACAGAGGGUGCUAGCGUUGUUCGGAAUCAUUGGGCGUAAAGGGCGUGUAGGCGGCCUUUUAAGUCAGACGUGAAAACCCUGGGCUUAACCCAGGACCUGCGUUUGAUACUGAAGGGCUUGAGGACCGGAGAGGACAGUGGAAUUCCUGGUGUAGCGGUGAAAUGCGCAGAUAUCAGGAGGAACACCGGUGGCGAAGGCGGGUCUCUGGGCCGAUACUGACGCUGAGGAGCGAAAGCGUGGGGAGCGAACAGG